rnacentral:rRNA from 1 species
UGUCAUCGGAUCAAAUGGGCGGACCGACCCUCACCCUAGUAGGUGGCUGGUGGCGGCCCAGCUGAGAGGAGGAGGGUCUAGAGGGGCAGGUACUUCACGGUGAGCCACCGGCGCGAGACCAGCGGCAGCGGCGGAAGGGUGGUGUAGUGGCGGCAGCGCCGGUGGGGGCGGCGCGAGAAGUGGCCGCGGCGACUGCCGUGGCAGGAGGUGACCGGGGAGGGAGGAAGGGGCGGGAAGACAGGUGCGGGGAGGAGGGAGGAGACGCGAGUGCGGCGCCGGUAGUGACGGGAGACGGGGGAGGGGAGGGGGCGGAGGGAGGAGCAGAGGACGUGACGGCCGCAGGAUAGGGAGAAGAGGCGGAGGCGGGGGGAGGCGACGGAGGCGGCGGCGAGCGAGGGCGGGACCCGGCCGAGGGGAAGGGAGCAGCUCGAGGAGGGGUGGUGGUGGAGGAGGAGGCGAAGCAGCUUGGGGGCCCAGCGCUAAGAGACGGUGGGGGUGCUGCUGCCGGUGCGGGUGGCGGUGCACAGGCGUGAACACCAGCAGCUGCGGGCGUGGGAGCGUCAGGAAGUGUGGCGGAAGGUGCCCCGGGAGAGGCAGCGUGAGGGCUCCCGCUAGCGCGAGUGCCAGACGUCGCUACUGUUACGGCAGUCACAACACGACCGACUGCGCGUUCCCGCCCGCGUCUACCACGGGCACCACCUCCAGCGCCGGCAGCUCCCACUGAGCGGCUCCGCCGAGUCGCACUCAAGGAACAGAUCGAAACGUGGACGUCUCCGCGGCCUACCAUGCCACCUCCGGCACCGCAAUAGCCUGCUGCCCUUCCAGCAACGGAACCACGACUUCUGCUCGACAAACAACUUUACGCAACAGCUCCCAAGGCACGACCCACUCCACAGAGACCGCUUGUGAAGCGAUACGUUCCUCCCCCUUUGUCCUCAGUUCCCGACGGAAAGACCUCCCAAAAAAGAGGUGCCUCCCCUCACCCCUCCGGGAGUGAGACUCCUUCCGUGACACCAGUCCUCGAACCACAACACCUCGUCGUUACCACCACGGUACCACAUGUUCCAACGACAACCAUGAGGAGGUAACAAACCCACACUCCGACAUACACUUCAAGGACCAUAAAGUAGGCUCGUCCCUCUUUACGGUCAUUAAGUUAUAACGGUCUACCCGUUGACAGAAUAAUCCUACCUUAGGGCAGGCAUAUUCUAACCACCAAGGAACAAAACCUUUGGCAAGUAGAGGUAUACCAGAUACCUAGUUGAUCUAAACUCAUAACGUUGCUUGUGUCUCUCGGGUGGAAACUCGUUUCAAGAACCUCUUCCGUCAGAAGUCCCUCUUCUUAAAUCCAGUCUCGAGAGAUUAAGUGAUGGGUUCAGUCUGUUACCUCACCUUUAUUCAAGUGUCUAUACGAGUCGUAUGUAGUUACCUAGCCCUUUCGUACCUUCCUGGCAUAGAAGAAGCUACCAUGAAAGGCUCCUAAGAAUACGAGGUAUACGGUAUCAAAUACCAAAGGUAUUACCACUGUAUCUUCAAUAAGCUAAAGAGUUAGACAACGGUCGCCGUGUUAAACCAUCGCCUCCCCAAAUGGGUGUAUAAAGACUUUCUAAAAAGAACCCCGUGUUCCCUCGUUAAGAAACGAACCGACGUGUGGUGUACGUACGGGUGAGACUGAGAUCUUCGAAAGCUGCUCGUGAGUAUAGCCCCUCAAACCUAACAUGCUAAGCACAGACCCUAGAACUACGGCCGUGGGAGGAAAGACACUACGUAGUGGUACAACGCCGCCAAUUCGUUUAUUAUGAUGGUGGUCGAACAUGAGUAGUCGGAACCCUACUAACAAAACAAAGACAACCUCUUCUACCGGAACAUCGUGAACAAAGAGAAGUUUGGUACGCACAGCUCUCCUACAAAGGACCCGUAAGAACAAUAGGUAGUUACCAACGAACCCUACCUCAUUUUCCCAUGUAACGAACAAAUACGGCAUCAGACGUGAGAACAUUACUGCACCCGUCGUAUAACAUAUAUACCCUAUACUUUUGUCCACGAGCUCUGGCUUAAUAAUCUCCCUGUUGUAGAGUUAGUCAUAAACUUGUGAAGACAUCCCCGUAAAGGUUUUUAAGUCAAUGACCACCGUAGAACCCUCCCUGUUGAAGUCGUAGAAGGAAUGAACAAGGUUAAAACUUUCCGUGGGUCAGAGGACGUUUAUCUUUACCCUACUUGUAGAGUAGAUAUGGUUGCUUGGUAGUGUCACGACGUCUAAGGUAUCGAAACUCACAGAGACGACGCGUACUACACUUCCCCUUCUGUGGUCGAGGUCAACUAUCUCUAUUAAGACGUAUAUCAAGUCCUUUUAGACCGAGAAGGGUCUAUUGUUUGUUUUCUUCUUUCAUGGGGUAUUUCACGAGUACAGGUAUAGGGCCGUAACGUUCAGACUCUAAACUGGAGUGACGUUAAUACAGGCGUGUUCCGUACAGUUUGUCGUUAUCACUAUCCGUCAACUCUCUAGUAGAAACACCACUACGAUUGUUCCUUUGAUGCGGUGGACCUCGAAAUUUAUUAUGAAGGCCCUAGGAUCUUUACCUAUCGGGUAGAUCUCUCAGUAACCUUCCCGUUAAUGAAGCUAAAUCAGAGACAAAAGACGUAAACACCCUACAACUAACACUCGACCUGUUUAAUGAACACCUACUCUACGUUCAAACGUUCGGUCUUCCAACAGUAUAUCGAUGUCCCCAACAUCCCCUAUCUCCGAGCAAAUGCCACUACAAGGGUCCCUUUCUUCGGUGAGAACUCGAAACCUUCAGGAGACGACUUAAAACACGAUACUCCAGCGACAGUUAUCAAAGAGAACGGGUUGCGUACUAGUGUAAUAGAGCCAGAACAUGUUUACGAUCGUCACGGAACCGUCGAAAAAUAUGUUCUGUGAAACGACUCUUUCAGGGUCUAUAUUUCGGGGGUAGGGAGGUCGAAGACCACUCGAAAACCGUUGUAGGAAGACUUGUACACGCUUACCGACGGGCGAGGAAUAAAGUGACGAGUCGAGGAGCGAGACAAGGUGUUGGGGAGGCACAUGUCUCUUUAUUUUAAGGACUGGUGAACAGAAAUAGACUAGUAUACCUGUUCGAAUAGGGUCUCUACGUCUCACGGAGUUAUAGAUCAAUACCUGUCAACUUCCACCUACCACUUUUAGAACUGUCCCUACUACUACUAUGAAGAGUUUAUUAGAGUACCGACCUUAGUAAACUCUUAGUCCUCACCGAUAGAACCUAACCUCCUUGUUCGGUCCUACGUCACCGUAGUUUAUAGUAACAACGUCGACGAAAGCAACAAACCAUGGGUUCGUAACACUUUCAAUUCGAACGUUUCAACCAACAGUUAGUUGAUUAGUUUAAUCAAUACAGCUACUUACUAGCAAUGUCAAGUUGACGUCGACUUGAAGAUCGCCUCCCUUACCUUUCGUGUACCUUUCGUACAAACCCCUGACUGUAGUGAGUAAAGAACUCACUGCAGGAAAAGGUUUAACUCACAGAUUCAUCACGUGGAAGAUCGUUACAGUAGAUAUUUUGACGUCAACGACAAUGUUACUCCCUCCGUAAUCAACCGUGGGAAGAUGGUUCGAACCGAUACCGACUGUAUUACCCUAAAAAACCACAUUAUCUUUCAGUUUAAACCCGAUGAAGUAGACUAAGUGGACAAGUGCAUCAGAGUGAGUUUUGAGAGUAGGCUCAUGAAGCUCCGACAGGUUUCCGGGACCGAGGAAUAGAACUGUUCCGUUAGUCGAUAUAGGAUGUGUGCUACCUAGGUUCGUUAAAUUAUUACGCAUUUCGAACGUAAUAGUCGAGUUACUACCGAGAUUCUCUUUAACGGGCACAUAAAGGUUACCAACGAGAGUUACUCUGUUACUGUUCUAAUCGACAACCACUACGAUAACCUCUCUAAGUGUCACGGUGUUAAGCACAAAUACUGUAUCUUUCACAGUGUUUUUAUUCCUAAGAGCUACGUACACCUGGUGGUCCAGAAGGUUCGAAAGAGUUUCCUGGUAGCCUAUGUUGUUGUUGGUAUGACUAUUGUCGAAACUCAAAGAGUGGUCUACCUCUCCCGGAACAGCGGAAAAGCCUCUUGCCUAACUACUAAUCUACCACCAGAGAACCAAGUCGGACCACCCUCUCCGAUUCGUCUUCGGAAUGAGGAUAAGUCACGUGUUUUGAAUAGAUACAAGGAGGUACCCUUCCUAAAAGUGGGUUGAGUCGAGCGGAUUCAUAAUAAAGAUUGUAGAACCCUGUACUAUUUGUAGUUUUAAGUCUCUCGUUCUGCUCCCUUGAUCUACUCCGACUAUUAGAUUUUGACGACAAUGUAUUAGAACUGGAAAGAAUGGCGGAAGUAACCCAACCACCUUUCUGGUAAUUUGAAUGUUCCGUACUAGUCCUGGACCCAUGUAAAGUCAACACUAAUUUUCUACUCAAUACCGAACAACUAUCGAAUACAUAGACCAACUCAACGGAACCUCAAAAUGAUCCAUCUACAUGACUUCAGACUGCUCCCACCGGGUUUCAUUUCGCUUCGGUGGUUCACUGUCAGUAUAUAGUAGUGGUUGUCCUAACAACUAAUGUUAUAACGUACCUCCAGAGACCUUCCUUGUCAAGACAAAGUGGUAGUCCGAUACGUCGUACGAAAGACUAACUGUCUAGUUCAUCACCGUUGGAUUCAUAGCAAUCACCCUUGACAGCUCUCAGUCCUCGAAGAGAGGCAAUUGAUAGUCGACUGUCGAACUUCUAAACUUCCUAGUCUGAGACCAUAAUUAAACGAACUCAACAUCAGUGUGUAGAAAGAAGUAAGACGACGAACAGUAGUCGCAACAUGAUGGUAGUGUCUAUGGAUGGCGGACUUCUAAACCUGAACCAUCACAACUCUACUGUCCGUGGUUUCCCUGUAAAGUGGUUUGAUCAUGAGGGAGGCAAGCCUUAAUGAACAGCAUCUUUACCUACAUAGAUCUACAUAAAAUCAAGAUCUAUGUAGGUAAAGGUUCUGUUCAUUAAGGCUUGCCUCCCUCAUUAUGAAGAUAUUGACUUAUAUCAAUUUAGAACUAAAUGACCGUUCCGUAUAAAAGUCCGAAUACAUUCCCUUACAUGUUGACUCCAACUAUAUUUCACAACUUCUUAAACGGACUGUUCUUGCGACAUAUCACAUUUUACAUUUACUAACACGGACAUGUCCAAGAAAAACCGUAAAAUGUGGGUACAUUCUUAUUAAGCAAG